rnacentral:rRNA from 1 species
AUUGAACGCUGGCGGCAUGCCUUACACAUGCAAGUCGAACGGCAGCGGGCUCUUCGGGUUGCCUUCGAGUGGCCAACGGGUGAGUAAUGCAUCGGAACGUCCCCGGCUGCGGUGUCUUACCGGCCGACAUGCUGGCUAAUACCCCAUUACCUCAUACGACCAAAGCGUGGGACCUUCGGGCCUUCCGCCCUCGCACCAUCCGAUGUCCGGUUAGGCUAGUUGGUGGGGUAAAGGCCCACCAAGGCGACGAUCGGUAGCCGGUCUGAGAGGAUGAUGCGCCACACUGGAACUGAGACACGGCCCAGACUCCUACGGGAGGCAGCAGUGGGGAAUAUUGGACAAUGGGCGCAAGCCUGAUCCAGCAAUGCCGCGUGGGUGAAGAAGGCCUUCGGGUUGUAAAGCCCUUUUGGCGGGGAAGAAAAGGGGCAGGCGAAUAGUCUGGCGGGAUGACGGUACCCGAAGAAGAAGCACCGGCUAACUACGUG